rnacentral:lncRNA from 1 species
CAGUCUUUGAAUGAAUACAACGUUGUCUGGUUGGAAUAUUAUCGCUACUUUACGAGAAAAAUCGCAUAAAAAUUGAUUUUAAACAGCGUUUGACAUGCUUCGAAGUACGGUAAUGGAAUAUUUUGCAUUUUUUUGUCACGAAAUGCGCUCGCGCGUCACCCUUCGGAUUGUGACCUGAACGCACGAACAAAACGGAGCUAUUUCAAUAUAACUAUGGAUUAUUUGGAACCAAAACAACAUUUGUUGUUGAAGUAUAAGUCCUGGGAGUGCAUUCUGACGAAGAACAGCAAAGCCUGUCCUCCUGAGGCGCUCCACCCUACCUAGGUCCUGGAGAAGGGAAAAGGCACAGGGGAAUCUCCAAAGUCAAAGCGGCAGGUACUGGGAGAAUAGUCAAGGUAAAGAUGAACAGAGCAAAGUCCAGUAUUUCGUGAUGAAAACCUGCUCCAGAGUGCUCAGGACCUCAGACUGGGGCGAAGGAUCACCUUCCACAGGACAAUGACCCUAAGAACACAGCCAAGACAGCGUAGGAGUGGCUUCGGGACAAGUUUCUGAAUGUCCUCGAGUGGCCCAGCCAGAUCCCGAUUGAACAUCUCUGGAAAGACCUGAAAAUAGCUGUGCAGCAAUGCUCCCCAUCCAACCCGACAGAGCUUGAGAGGAAUGAGAGAAACUCCACAAAUACAGGUGUGCCAAGCUUGUAGCAUCAUACCCAACAAUACUCAAGGCUGG